GGCUAGGACGAACGCUGGCGGCGUGCCUAACACAUGCAAGUCGAGCGGGGACAUGCGACGGAGACGAAGUUUCGGAUGGAGUCGAAGAUGCACUGUCUAGCGGCGGACGGGUGAGUAACGCGUGAGCAACCUGUCCCUUACAGGGGAUAACACAGCGAAAGUUGUACUAAUACCGCAUGAGACCACGGUGAGACAUCUCACAGGGGUCAAAGGAGCAAUCCGGUAAGGGGUGGGCUCGCGUCCGAUUAGAUAGUUGGUGAGGUAACGGCCCACCAAGUCGACGAUCGGUAGCCGACCUGAGAGGGUGAUCGGCCACAUUGGGACUGAGACACGGCCCAAACUCCUACGGGAGGCAGCAGUGGGGAAUAUUGGGCAAUGGGGGGAAACCCUGACCCAGCAACGCCGCGUGAGGGAAGAAGGUUUUCGGAUCGUAAACCUCUGUCCUUGGUGAAGAGGAAGAGACGGUAGCCAAGGAGGAAGCCCCGGCUAACUACGUGCCAGCCGCAGC
rnacentral:rRNA from 1 species